CACGUAGGUCCCGAGCGUUGUCCGGAUUUAUUGGGCGUAAAGCGAGCGCAGGUGGUUUAUUAAGUCUGGUGUAAAAGGCAGUGGCUCAACCAUUGUAAGCAUUGGAAACUGGUAGACUUGAGUGCAGGAGAGGAGAGUGGAAUUCCAUGUGUAGCGGUGAAAUGCGUAGAUAUAUGGAGGAACACCGGUGGCGAAAGCGGCUCUCUGGCCUGUAACUGACACUGAGGCUCGAAAGCGUGGGGAGCAAACAGG
rnacentral:rRNA from 1 species